rnacentral:rRNA from 1 species
CAGCAGCCGCGGUAAUACGUAGGGCGCAAGCGUUGUCCGGAUUUAUUGGGCGUAAAGAGUUCGUAGGCGGUCUGUCGCGUCGGAAGUGAAAACCCGGAGCUCAACUCCGGGCCUGCUUUCGAUACUGGCAGACUUGAGUGUUGCAGGGGAGACUGGAAUUCCUGGUGUAGCGGUGGAAUGCGCAGAUAUCAGGAGGAACACCAGUGGCGAAGGCGGCUUUCUGGCCUGUUCUUGACGCUGAGGCGCGAAAGCUAGGGUAGCAAACGGGAUUAGAUACCCCGGUAGUCCUAGCCGUAAACGAUGGACACUAGGUGUUGGUGGUAUCAACCCCGCCAGUGCCGUAGCUAACGCAUUAAGUGUCCCGCCUGGGGAGUACGGCCGCAAGGCUAAAACUCAACNNGAAUUGACGG